rnacentral:rRNA from 1 species
ACCUGCCCCGAUGAUUGGGACAACCCGAGGAAACUCGGGCUAAUACCAAAUGUGCUCCUGGCCGUAAGGGCCUGGAGGAAAGGUAGCUUCGGCUUCCGCAUCGGGAUGGGCCCGCGGCCCAUUAGCUUGUUGGUGGGGUAACGGGCCUACCAAGGCGACGAUGGGUAGCUGGUCUGAGAGGACGAUCAGCCACACUGGGACUGAGACACGGCCCAG